UACAGAGGUCUCAAGCGUUGUUCGGAUUCAUUGGGCGUAAAGGGUGCGUAGGUGGCGCCGUAAGUCGGGUGUGAAAUUUCGGAGCUUAACUCCGAAACUGCAUUCGAUACUGCGGUGCUUGAGGACUGGAGAGGAGACUGGAAUUCAUGGUGUAGCAGUGAAAUGCGUAGAGAUCAUGAGGAACACCAGUGGCGAAGGCGGCUCGCUGGACAGACAUUGACGCUGAGGUGCGAAAGCGUGGGGAGCAAACAGG
rnacentral:rRNA from 1 species